AUGCUGAUUGAGGUGUGGGGAGCGUCCGGUGAGGAGCUCCGCUACCUGCUGAGCCUGAAAUCAAGAGGAGUGCGGUUUCCUGGACGCGACAAUGAGAGCUUGGCCCCCAUAUUUACUCCACCACGCUCAGUUGCUGAAGCUGAAGCUGGUGCAAACUUUACCCAACAGACCUUUGAAGAUGUGCAUAUGCAUAUAUAUACUGCCGAAGAAACAAAGGAAGCUUUUGAUGUUGCGCGUAACAGCAUAGAGCUUCUUUCAACUGUUCUUUCUUCUUCCCCUCAGCAGGAUGCUUUGCAGAUAGAUUAUGAACAUAUAUAUAUAUAUAUAGUUUGUAUUUUUUCGAGCACAUUAAUAAUAUGA
rnacentral:rRNA from 1 species